CAAACGGUAAGUUCAGAAAUUGGUCAUCGGAGUAAUUAAUGUUUUUUUGCGUUUUGCCAGAUGCUGUCCUGUUGGAAAUUCUUCUUUACGUGAUCCUGGAGGAGGGGUUAUGCUACAUUACUAAGUCCGUCUUUGGUUUGUUCCAAAUUCAGAAGUCUGCUGUACUGUAUACAGACUCCUUUCGAAAGCGGGCACAAUCCAGCUGGCUUAGCUGAGUAUCUUCUUUUACAUAUUUGAUUAGAGGUUUAAAAAGGUGGAACAAAAUGGAGAACAAGUCUAAGCCAUGUCAGGAAUUCAACAAAAUGUACACCCUG